rnacentral:rRNA from 1 species
UACGGGAGGCAGCAGUGGGGAAUAUUGCACAAUGGGCGCAAGCCUGAUGCAGCCAUGCCGCGUGUAUGAAGAAGGCCUUCGGGUUGUAAAGUACUUUCAGUCGUGAGGAAGGUGUUAAGGUUAAUAACCUUAGCAAUUGACGUUAGCGACAGAAGAAGCACCGGCUAACUCCGUGCCAGCAGCCGCGGUAAUACGGAGGGUGCGAGCGUUAAUCGGAAUUACUGGGCGUAAAGGGCACGCAGGCGGUUAAUUAAGUUGGAUGUGAAAUCCCCGGGCUUAACCUGGGAAUGGCAUUCAAGACUGGUUAGCUAGAGUCUUGUAGAGGGGGGUAGAAUUCCAUGUGUAGCGGUGAAAUGCGUAGAAUGUGGAGGAAUACCGGUGGCGAAGGCGGCCCCCUGGACAAAGACUGACGCUCAUGUGCGAAAGCGUGGGGAGCAAACAGGGAUUAGAUACC